UACAGAGGGUGCAAGCGUUGUUCGGAAUUAUUGGGCGUAAAGCGCGUGUAGGCGGCUUUGCAAGUCGGGUGUGAAAGCCCUCAGCUCAACUGAGGAAGUGCGCCCGAAACUGCAGAGCUUGAGUACCGGAGAGGAUGGUGGAAUUCCCCAAGUAGAGGUGAAAUUCGUAGAUAUGGGGAGGAACACCGGUGGCGAAGGCGACCAUCUGGACGGAUACUGUCGCUGAGACGCGAAAGCGUGGGUAGCAAACGGG
rnacentral:rRNA from 1 species